CACGUAGGGCGCAAGCGUUGUCCGGAAUUAUUGGGCGUAAAGAGCUCGUAGGCGGUCUGUUGCGUCCGCUGUGAAAACUCGGGGCUUAACCCCGAGCCUGCAGUGGAUACGGGCAGGCUAGAGUUCGGUAGGGGAGACUGGAAUUCCGUGGUGUAGCGGUGAAAUGCGCAGAUAUCAGGAGGAACACCGGUGGCGAAGGCGGGUCUCUGGGCCGAUACUGACGCUGAGGAGCGAAAGCGUGGGGAGCGAACAGG
rnacentral:rRNA from 1 species